rnacentral:piRNA from 1 species
UGAGAUGUGAAAAGGAGCCACCAGU